GACCUAUGGCGCAAUGUCCGAUUUAAAAAGGCCUAGUGUCGUUAACUGUUGAGUCCAACUUCACCCGAACUGUCUGCUGGAACAUGAAACAAGCUAUUAAUAGGACUUUUCUGCUGGGAAGGACUUUCUGUCAUCAGAUGACUUCUGAGACGUUUGCUCAUUUUUUUACCCUCAGAUGGAUGUUGAGGUCCUCCUGGAAUGAAACAGAUUGUCCUUUGUCUGCAUCCUGCACACCAAUAGUUCCUUCCAGGCUGUCUCCAGGCUGUCUUCCAGAUGCAAACAAAGCUAGCACCAUCUCAUCUUUGGACAUCUGACAAUGGAUUCCAUUUGCCUUACACUCUUUUUCUCAGCUGUGCCCAAGACAUUUUAGCACAUAUGUCAGAAGAACUAAUUUUCUGUCUGUUUACCUAAACUAAACUGACAAAAAAUAAAAUAACUGAUGUGCACAGGAAAACCUCUGCAUAUUUCAAAUUAUAGCUGAGAGGUUAUAAACAUAUGUAUUUGGUAAUAAAGCUGAUUUAAGCCGAAUCAGGGACUGUGUUAGAGUUUUGGGGGUCCCCAGCAAAUGUCAAGUUGGGGGCCCCUUAGGCACUUCCAGUCUAAGUAUCACCCUUUCAUUGCCACCCCUCCUAAGCAACCUUUUAGUUCAUGCUGCAAACAUUUAGUAGUAGUACGCGCAAACUGACCUGUAGAUACAGUGCUCUUACAUUACAACAGGCCUCUGUACAACAGUAUGUUGGCUGAUCUUACAAAGAGACAUUCACAGUUACUGGCAUUUAGUUGCAACAAUGAUACAUUACAACAACUCUUUGUACAGGUCUGAACUUAGGGGAAAUGGCACCCUAGGCCUAAUGUUUCUGCCCCACCACACACACACACACCCUCCAGUCCUCCCCUCUGUUUCUCCCCAUCUUGGGCUUCCUAUACAAUGGACAUUAUGUUUUUACAUUUUACUGUUUAGCUUUGUCAGUAAGCCAUACCUUUCUAUAUACUCUGAAUUGCAUUUUAUUUUUUUUUUCUUUUUACAUAUCCUUUUCAUCCAAUGACAUCUUGAAAAGAAAUUAUGAUUAAGAAAUUAAAUUUGCUUUUGUUUUUCAA